rnacentral:rRNA from 1 species
AUUGAACGCUGGCGGCAGGCCUAACACAUGCAAGUCGAGCGGAUGAAGGGAGCUUGCUCCUGGAUUCAGCGGCGGACGGGUGAGUAAUGCCUAGGAAUCUGCCUGGUAGUGGGGGAUAACGUCCGGAAGCGGGCGCUAAUACCGCAUACGUCCUGAGGGAGAAUGUGGGGGAUCUUCGGACCUCACGCUAUCAGAUGAGGCUAGGUCGGAUUAGCUAGUUGGUGGGGUAAAGGGCUACCAAGGCGACGAUCCGUAACUGGUCUGAGAGGAUGAUCAGUCACACUGGAACUGAGACACGGUCCAGACUCCUACGGGAGGCGGCAGUGGGGAAUAUUGGACAAUGGGCGAAGGCCUGAUCCAGCCAUGCCGCGUGUGUGAAGAAGGUCUUCGGAUUGUAAAGCACUUUAAGUUGGGAGGAAGGGCAGUAAGUUAAUACCUUGCUGUGUUGACGUUACCAACAGAAUAAGCACCGGCUAACUUCGUG